rnacentral:rRNA from 1 species
UUCCGGUUGAUCCUGCCGGACCCGACUGCUAUCCGGGUGGGACUAAGCCAUGCAAGUCGAAUGGGAUACCUAAAUUUCCCAUGGCGAACUGCUCAGUAACACGUGAUCAACUUACCCUGUGGAGAAAAAUAACUUCGGGAAACUGAAGAUAAUUCUUCAUAAUUGAGAAUGCUUGGAAAGGUUUCUCAAUAAAAGAACAUUUCAAAUGGGAAAUGUAUCGCCGCAGGAUAGGAUCGCGUCCGAUUAUGGCAGUUGGUGAGGUAAUGGCUCACCAAACCUAUUAUCGGUAAGGGCCGUGAGAGCGGAAGCCCUGAGAUGGGUACUGAGACAAUGACCCAGGUCUUACGAGACGCAGCAGGCGCGAAACCUUCACAAUGCACGAAAGUGAGAUGAGGUUACCCGGAGUGCUACAAAGUAGCUGUGGCAGGUGAGUAAGGUUCCCUGCUAGGAAGGAGAGGGCAAGGCUGGUGCCAGCCGCCGCGGUAAAACCAGCUCUUCAAGUGGUCGGGAUUAUUAUUGGGCUUAAAGUGUUCGUAGCCUGUUUAGUAAGUUCUUGGUUAAAUCGGAUAGCUUAACUAUCUGUCUGCUAAGAAUACUACUAUACUAGGGGGCGGGAGAGGUCUGAGGUACUCCAGGGGUAGCGGUGAAAUGCUAUAAUCCUUGGGGGACCACCAGUGGCGAAGGCGUCAGACUGGAACGCGCCCGACGGUGAGGGACGGAAGCCAGGGGAGCGAACCGGAUUAGAUACCCGGGUAGUCCUGGCUGUAAACGAUGCGUGCUAGGUGUUGGUAUAGCUAUGAGCCGUAUCAGUGCCGUAGGAAAACCGAUAAGCGCGCCGCCUGGGGAGUACGGUCGCAAGGCUGAAACUUAAAGGAAUUGGCGGGCGAGCACCACAAGGGGUGAAGCCUGCGGUUCAAUUGGAUUCAACGCCGGA